rnacentral:rRNA from 1 species
UAGGGAAUCUUCGGCAAUGGGGGGAACCCUGACCGAGCAACGCCGCGUGAGUGAAGAAGGUUUUCGGAUCGUAAAGCUCUGUUGUUAAGGAAGAACGAGUGUGAGAAUGGAAAGUUCAUACUGUGACGGUACUUACCAGAAAGGGACGGGUAACUACGUGCCAGCAGCCGCGGUAAUACGUAGGUCCCGAGGGUUGUCCGGAUUUAUUGGGCGUAAAGCGAGCGCAGGCGGGUAGAUAAGUCUGAAGUUAAAGGCAGUGGCUCAACCAUUGUAGGCUUUGGAAACUGUUUAACUUGAGUGCAGAAGGGGAGAGUGGAAUUCCAUGUGUAGCGGUGAAAUGCGUAGAUAUAUGGAGGAACACCAGUGGCGAAGGCGACUCUCUGGUCUGUAACUGACGCUGAGGCUCGAAAGCGUGGGUAGCAAACAGG